rnacentral:rRNA from 1 species
UACGAAGGGGGCUAGCGUUGUUCGGAAUUACUGGGCGUAAAGCGCACGUAGGCGGGUCGUUAAGUCAGGGGUGAAAUCCCGGAGCUCAACUCCGGAACUGCCUUUGAUACUGGCGAUCUAGAGAUCGAGAGAGGUGAGUGGAAUUCCGAGUGUAGAGGUGAAAAUUCGUAGAUAUUCGGAAGAACACCAGUGGCGAAGGCGGCUCACUGGCUCGAUACUGACGCUGAGGUGCGAAAGCCAGGGUAGCGAACGGG